CGCGUGCUCCUUAGAUCUUGAAUUGGUGCUUUGUUUUAUUCUUGUGCGAUGCAGCUCUUUGCCCGCCGGCCGGUCCUCAUUUCGAUGAGGAGCUGGUGGGUGUGGUGAGGAGGUUGUUUUCGUGCAUGAGUUUAGAGGCACAGCAGCUUUCCUGGCUGUUUUAUCGAUUCAAAUUGAGUCAUUGGCGCGCUAGAGCAACAACCUGUCCUGCAUGGGCAUG
rnacentral:snoRNA from 1 species